rnacentral:rRNA from 1 species
UGGGGAAUUUUGGACAAUGGGCGAAAGCCUGAUCCAGCAAUGCCGCGUGUGUGAAGAAGGCCUUCGGGUUGUAAAGCACUUUUGUCCGGAAAGAAAUCCUUGGCUCUAAUACAGUCGGGGGAUGACGGUACCGGAAGAAUAAGCACCGGCUAACUACGUGCCAGCAGCCGCGGUAAUACGUAGGGUGCAAGCGUUAAUCGGAAUUACUGGGCGUAAAGCGUGCGCAGGCGGUUUGCUAAGACCGAUGUGAAAUCCCCGGGCUCAACCUGGGAACUGCAUUGGUGACUGGCAGGCUAGAGUAUGGCAGAGGGGGGUAGAAUUCCACGUGUANCAGUGAAAUGCGUAGAGAUGUGGAGGAAUACCGAUGGCGAAGGCAGCCCCCUGGGCCAAUACUGACGCUCAUGCACGAAAGCGUGGGGAGCAAAACAGGAUUAGAUACCCUGGUAGUCCACGCCCUAAAACGAUGUCAACUAGUUGUUGGGGAUUCAUUUCCUUAGUAACGUAGCUAACGCGUGAAGUUGACCGCCUGGGGAGUACGGUCGCAAGAUUAAAACUCAAAGGAAUUGACGGGGUCAUAGCUGUUUCCU